UACAGAGGGUGCGAGCGUUAAUCGGAAUUACUGGGCGUAAAGCGUGCGUAGACGGCUUUCUAAGUCGGGGGUGAAAGCCCCGGGCUCAACCUGGGAAUUGCAUUCAAGACUGAAUAGCUAGGGUACGGUAGAGGGAAGCGGAAUUUCCGGUGUAGCGGUGAAAUGCGUAGAUAUCGGAAGGAACAUCAGUUGCGAAAGCGGCUUCCUGGACCAGUACCGACGUUCAGGCACGAAAGCUAGGGGAGCAAACGGG
rnacentral:rRNA from 1 species